GAUGAACGCUGGCGGCGUGCCUAAUACAUGCAAGUCGAGCGAACAGACGAGGAGCUUGCUCCUCUGACGUUAGCGGCGGACGGGUGAGUAACACGUGGAUAACCUACCUAUAAGACUGGGAUAACUUCGGGAAACCGGAGCUAAUACCGGAUAAUAUAUUGAACCGCAUGGUUCAAUAGUGAAAGACGGUUUUGCUGUCACUUAUAGAUGGAUCCGCGCCGCAUUAGCUAGUUGGUAAGGUAACGGCUUACCAAGGCAACGAUGCGUAGCCGACCUGAGAGGGUGAUCGGCCACACUGGAACUGAGACACGGUCCAGACUCCUACGGGAGGCAGCAGUAGGGAAUCUUCCGCAAUGGGCGAAAGUUUGACGGAGCAACGCCGCGUGAGUGAUGAAGGUCUUCGGAUCGUAAAACUCUGUUAUUAGGGAAGAACAAAUGUGUAAGUAACUAUGCACGUCUUGACGGUACCUAAUCAGAAAGCCACGGCUAACUACAUG
rnacentral:rRNA from 1 species